rnacentral:rRNA from 1 species
GAUGAACGCUGGCGGCGUGCCUAAUACAUGCAAGUCGAGCGAACAGACGAGGAGCUUGCUCCUCUGACGUUAGCGGCGGACGGGUGAGUAACACGUGGAUAACCUACCUAUAAGACUGGGAUAACUUCGGGAAACCGGAGCUAAUACCGGAUAAUAUAUUGAACCGCAUGGUUCAAUAGUGAAAGGCGGUUUUGCUGUCACUUAUAGAUGGAUCCGCGCCGCAUUAGCUAGUUGGUAAGGUAACGGCUUACCAAGGCAACGAUGCGUAGCCGACCUGAGAGGGUGAUCGGCCACACUGGAACUGAGACACGGUCCAGACUCCUACGGGAGGCAGCAGUAGGGAAUCUUCCGCAAUGGGCGAAAGCCUGACGGAGCAACGCCGCGUGAGUGAUGAAGGUCUUCGGAUCGUAAAACCCUGUUAUUAGGGAAGAACAAAUGUGUAAGUAACUAUGCACGUCUUGACGGUACCUAAUCAGAAAGCCACGGCUAACUACGUG